AGUGAACGCUGGCGGUAGGCCUAACACAUGCCAGUCGAACGGCAGCACAGUAAGAGCUUGCUCUUACGGGUGGCGAGUGGCGGACGGGUGAGGAAUACAUCGGAAUCUACUUUUUCGUGGGGGAUAACGUAGGGAAACUUACGCUAAUACCGCAUACGACCUACGGGUGAAAGCAGGGGAUCUUCGGACCUUGCGCGAUUGAAUGAGCCGAUGUCGGUUUAGUUAGUUGGUGGGGUAAAGGCCCAACAAGGCGACGUUCCGUAGCUGGUCUGAGAGGGUGAUCAGCCACAGUGGGACAGCGACAGGGUCCAGACUCCUACGGGAGGCAGGUGUGGUGAAUAUUAGACAAUGGGCGCAAGCCUGAUCCAGCCAUACCGCGUGGGUGAAGAGGGCCUUCGGGUUGUAAAGCCCUUUUGUUGGGAAAGAAAGGCAGCAGGUUAAUACCCCGCUGUUCUGACGGUACCCAAAGAAUAAGCGCCGGCUAACUUCG
rnacentral:rRNA from 1 species